UGGAAUGAUGAUGUCCAGAAGGCGCUUAAAGAGAAGAAAGAUUGCUUCAGACGCCUAUACCUGGAUAGGAGUGCAGACAACAUAGAGAAGUACAAGAUGACGAAGAAGGCCGCAAAGCGAGCUGUUGGUGAAGCAAGGGGUCGGGCAUAUGAGGACCUCUACCAACGGUUAGGCACGAAGGAAGGUGAAAGGGACAUCUAUAAGAUGGCUAAGAUCCGGGAGAGGAAGACGAGGGAUAUUGGCCAAGUCAAAUGCAUCAAGGACGGAGCAGGCCAACUCUUGGUGAAGGACGAAGAGAUUAAGCAUAGAUGGCGGGAGUACUUCGACAAGCUGUUCAAUGGGGAGAAUGAGAGUUCUACCAUUGAACUGAAUGACUCCUUUGAUGAGACCAGCAUGCGUUUUGUGCGGCGCAUCCAGGAGUCUGAGGUGAAGGAGGCUUUAAAAAGGAUGAAAGGAGGCAAGGCGAUGGGCCCUGAUUGUAUCCCCAUUGAGGUGUGGAAAGGUCUCGGGGACAUAGCGAUGGUAUGGCUAACCAAGCUUUUCAACCUCAUUUUUCGGGCAAACAAGAUGCCAGAAGAAUGGAGACGGAGUAUAUUAGUACCAAUCUUCAAGAACAAGGGGGAUGUUCAGAGUUGUACUAAUUAUCGUGGAAUUAAGCUGAUGAGCCAUACAAUGAAGCUAUGGGAGAGAGUCAUUGAGCACCGCUUAAGAAGAAUGACAAGCGUGACCAAAAAUCAGUUUGGUUUCAUGCCUGGGAGGUCGACCAUGGAAGCCAUUUUCUUGGUACGACAACUUAUGGAGAGAUAUAGGGAGCAUAAGAAGGACUUGCAUAUGGUGUUCAUUGACUUGGAGAAGGCCUAUGAUAAGAUACCGCGGAAUGUCAUGUGGUGGGCCUUGGAGAAACACAAAGUCCCAGCAAAGUACAUUACCCUCAUCAAGGACAUGUACAAUAAUGUUGUGACAAGUGUUCGAACAAGUGAUGUCGACACCGAUGACUUCCCGAUUAAGAUAGGACUGCACCAGGGGUCAGCUUUGAGCCCUUAUCUUUUUGCAUUGGUGAUGGAUGAGGUCACAAGGGGUAUACAAGGAGAUAUCCCAUGGUGUAUGCUCUUUGCGGAUGAUGUGGUGCUAGCUGACGAUAGUCGGAUGGGGGUAAAUAGGAAGUUAGAGUUAUGGAGACAAACCUUGGAAUCGAAAGGGUUUAGGCUUAGUAGAACUAAAACCGAGUACAUGAUGUGCGGUUUCAGUACUACUAGCUGUGAGGAGGAGGAGGUUAGCCUUGAUGGCAAGGUGGUACCUCGGAAGGACACCUUUCGGUAUUUGGGGUCAAUGUUGCAGGAGGAUGGGGGUAUUGAUGAAGAUGUGAACCAUCGAAUCAAAGCCGGAUGGAUGAAGUGGCGCCAAGCUUCUGGCAUUCUCUGUGACAAGAGAGUGCCACAAAAGCUAAAAGGCAAGUUCUACAGGACGGCGGUUCGACCCGCAAUGUUGUAUGGCGCGGAGUGUUGGCCGACUAAAAGGCGACAUGUUCAACAGUUAGGUGUGGUAGAGAUGCGUAUGUUGAGAUGGAUGUGUGGCCACACGAGGAAGGAUCGAGUCCGGAAUGAUGAUAUACGAGAUAGAGUUGGGGUAGCACCAAUUGAGGAGAAGCUUGUCCAACAUCGUUUGAGAUGGUUUGGGCAUAUUCAGCGCAGGCCUCCAGAAGCUCCAGUGCAUAGCGGACGGCUAAAGCGUGCGGAGAAUGUCAAGAGAGGGCGGGGUCGACCGAUUUUGACAUGGGAGGAGUCCGUUAAGAGAGACUUGAAGGAUUGGAGUAUCGACAAAGAGCUA
rnacentral:rRNA from 1 species